GGAAUUUUGGACAAUGGGGGCAACCCUGAUCCAGCGACGCCGCGUGGAGGACGAAGGUCUUCGGAUUGUAAACUCCUUUUAUCUGAGAAUAAGAAAUCCGUAGAAAUACGGAGAGUGAAGGUAUCAGAGGAAUAAGCCACGGCUAACUUCGUGCCAGCAGCCGCGGUAAUACGAAGGUGGCGAGCGUUACUCGGAAUGACUAGGCGUAAAGGGCAGGUAGGCGGUCUGGUAAGUCUGCUGUGAAAGCUCCCGGCUCAACUGGGAGAGGCCAACAGAUACUGUCAGGCUCGAGUAUGGGAGAGGAUACUGGAAUUCCCGGUGUAGCGGUGAAAUGCGCAGAGAUCGGGAGGAACACCAAUGGCGAAAGCAAGUAUCUGGACCAUUACUGACGCUCAGCUGCGAAAGCUAGGGGAGCAAAC
rnacentral:rRNA from 1 species